AGAAUCAACGCUGGCGGCGUGCCUAACACAUGCAAGUCGAACGAGAAAGGGGAGCAAUCCCUGAGUAAAGUGGCGCACGGGUGAGUAACACGUGACUAACCUACCCUGGAGUGGGGGAUAACUGAGGGAAACCUUAGCUAAUACCGCAUAAUACCCACGGGUCAAAGGAGCAAUUCGCUCCAGGAGGGGGUCGCGGCCGAUUAGUUAGUUGGCGGGGUAAUGGCCCACCAAGACGAUGAUCGGUAU
rnacentral:rRNA from 1 species